rnacentral:rRNA from 1 species
CAAGCAGUGGGAGCACGCUUAGGCGUGUGACUGCGUACCUUUUGUAUAAUGGGUCAGCGACUUAUAUUCUGUAGCAAGGUUAACCGAAUAGGGGAGCCGAAGGGAAACCGAGUCUUAACUGGGCGUUAAGUUGCAGGGUAUAGACCCGAAACCCGGUGAUCUAGCCAUGGGCAGGUUGAAGGUUGGGUAACACUAACUGGAGGACCGAACCGACUAAUGUUGAAAAAUUAGCGGAUGACUUGUGGCUGGGGGUGAAAGGCCAAUCAAACCGGGAGAUAGCUGGUUCUCCCCGAAAGCUAUUUAGGUAGCGCCUCGUGAAUUCAUCUCCGGGGGUAGAGCACUGUUUCGGCAAGGGGGUCAUCCCGACUUACCAACCCGAUGCAAACUGCGAAUACCGGAGAAUGUUAUCACGGGAGACACACGGCGGGUGCUAACGUCCGUCGUGAAGAGGGAAACAACCCAGACCGCCAGCUAAGGUCCCAAAGUCAUGGUUAAGUGGGAAACGAUGUGGGAAGGCCCAGACAGCCAGGAUGUUGGCUUAGAAGCAGCCAUCAUUUAAAGAAAGCGUAAUAGCUCACUGGUCGAGUCGGCCUGCGCGGAAGAUGUAACGGGGCUAAACCAUGCACCGAAGCUGCGGCAGCGACGCUGAUGCGUUGUUGGGUAGGGGAGCGUUCUGUAAGCCUGCGAAGGUGUGCUGUGAGGCAUGCUGGAGGUAUCAGAAGUGCGAAUGCUGACAUAAGUAACGAUAAAGCGGGUGAAAAGCCCGCUCGCCGGAAGACCAAGGGUUCCUGUCCAACGUUAAUCGGGGCAGGGUGAGUCGACCCCUAAGGCGAGGCCGAAAGGCGUAGUCGAUGGGAAACAGGUUAAUAUUCCUGUACUUGGUGUUACUGCGAAGGGGGGACGGAGAAGGCUAUGUUGGCCGGGCGACGGUUGUCCCGGUUUAAGCGUGUAGGCUGGUUUUCCAGGCAAAUCCGGAAAAUCAAGGCUGAGGCGUGAUGACGAGGCACUGCGGUGCUGAAGCAACAAAUGCCCUGCUUCCAGGAAAAGCCUCUAAGCAUCAGGUAACAUCAAAUCGUACCCCAAACCGACACAGGUGGUCAGGUAGAGAAUACCAAGGCGCUUGAGAGAACUCGGGUGAAGGAACUAGGCAAAAUGGUGCCGUAACUUCGGGAGAAGGCACGCUGAUAUGUAGGUGAAGUCCCUCGCGGAUGGAGCUGAAAUCAGUCGAAGAUACCAGCUGGCUGCAACUGUUUAUUAAAAACACAGCACUGUGCAAACACGAAAGUGGACGUAUACGGUGUGACGCCUGCCCGGUGCCGGAAGGUUAAUUGAUGGGGUUAGCGCAAGCGAAGCUCUUGAUCGAAGCCCCGGUAAACGGCGGCCGUAACUAUAACGGUCCUAAGGUAGCGAAAUUCCUUGUCGGGUAAGUUCCGACCUGCACGAAUGGCGUAAUGAUGGCCAGGCUGUCUCCACCCGAGACUCAGUGAAAUUGAACUCGCUGUGAAGAUGCAGUGUACCCGCGGCAAGACGGAAAGACCCCGUGAACCUUUACUAUAGCUUGACACUGAACAUUGAGCCUUGAUGUGUAGGAUAGGUGGGAGGCUUUGAAGUGUGGACGCCAGUCUGCAUGGAGCCGACCUUGAAAUACCACCCUUUAAUGUUUGAUGUUCUAACGUUGACCCGUAAUCCGGGUUGCGGACAGUGUCUGGUGGGUAGUUUGACUGGGGCGGUCUCCUCCUAAAGAGUAACGGAGGAGCACGAAGGUUGGCUAAUCCUGGUCGGACAUCAGGAGGUUAGUGCAAUGGCAUAAGCCAGCUUGACUGCGAGCGUGACGGCGCGAGCAGGUGCGAAAGCAGGUCAUAGUGAUCCGGUGGUUCUGAAUGGAAGGGCCAUCGCUCAACGGAUAAAAGGUACUCCGGGGAUAACAGGCUGAUACCGCCCAAGAGUUCAUAUCGACGGCGGUGUUUGGCACCUCGAUGUCGGCUCAUCACAUCCUGGGGCUGAAGUAGGUCCCAAGGGUAUGGCUGUUCGCCAUUUAAAGUGGUACGCGAGCUGGGUUUAGAACGUCGUGAGACAGUUCGGUCCCUAUCUGCCGUGGGCGCUGGAGAACUGAGGGGGGCUGCUCCUAGUACGAGAGGACCGGAGUGGACGCAUCACUGGUGUUCGGGUUGUCAUGCCAAUGGCACUGCCCGGUAGCUAAAUGCGGAAGAGAUAAGUGCUGAAAGCAUCUAAGCACGAAACUUGCC